AGGUAGUGAUAUUUGGAGACAGGGUUAUUCUUGAAGAUCCAGUAGAGAGCUGGCCAACAUGCGAUUGCUUGAUUGCAUUCUAUUCCAAUGGGUAUCCCCUUGAAAAGGCAGAGGCAUAUGCAGCUUUGAGAAAGCCUUUCUUAAUUAAUGAAUUGGAACAACAGCACCUUCUUCAUGAUCGAAGGAAAGUAUACGAGGUAAGUUCAAACCCUUUUUACUAAUGUAUGAUUUUCCUAAGGCAUUAGUCAACAUGCAUUGAAGAAACACUUAUUAAAAUACGAAAAGAAUGAGUUUAUGAAAAUUACUGUUGUCUAGACUGUGGGAACUUGGGAGAUACCUGUAAUGCUUCUGAUGAGGGGAAACAGAUAGGAG